rnacentral:rRNA from 1 species
ACGGGAGGCAGCAGUGGGGAAUAUUGCACAAUGGGGGAAACCCUGAUGCAGCGACGCCGCGUGAGUGAAGAAGUAUUUCGGUAUGUAAAGCUCUAUCAGCAGGGAAGAAAAUGACGGUACCUGACUAAGAAGCCCCGGCUAACUACGUGCCAGCAGCCGCGGUAAUACGUAGGGGGCAAGCGUUAUCCGGAUUUACUGGGUGUAAAGGGAGCGUAGACGGUAAUGCAAGUCAGAAGUGAAAGCCCAGGGCUCAACCUUGGGACUGCUUUUGAAACUGUAAUACUAGAGUGCAGGAGAGGUAAGUGGAAUUCCUAGUGUAGCGGUGAAAUGCGUAGAUAUUAGGAGGAACACCAGUGGCGAAGGCGGCUUACUGGACUGUAACUGACGUUGAGGCUCGAAAGCGUGGGGAGCAAACAUGAUUAGAUACCCUGGUA